AGUGGCGGACGGGUGAGUAACGCGUGAGAAUCUGCCUUGGGGUCGGGGACAACCACUGGAAACGGUGGCUAAUACCGGAUACGCCUUCGGGUAAAAGAUUUAUUGCCCUAAGAGGAGCUCGCGUCUGAUUAGCUAGUUGGUGAGGUAAGAGCUCACCGAGGCAGCGAUCAGUAGCUGGUCUGAGAGGACGAUCAGCCACACUGGGACUGAGACACGGCCCAGACUCCUACGGGAGGCAGCAGUGGGGAAUUUUCCGCAAUGGGCGAAAGCCUGACGGAGCAAGACCGCGUGAGGGAGGAAGGCUCUUGGGUUGUAAACCUCUUUUCUCAGGGAAGAAGCUCUGACGGUACCUGAGGAAUCAGCCUCGGCUAACUCCGUGCCAGCAGCCGCGGUAAUACGGAGGAGGCAAGCGUUAUCCGGAAUUAUUGGGCGUAAAGCGUCCGCAGGUGGCGAUUCAAGUCUGCUGUCAAAGCACGGGGCUUAACUCCGUAAAGGCAGUGGAAACUGAAUAGCUAGAGUGCCGUAGGGGUAGAGGGAAUUCCCGGUGUAGCGGUGAAAUGCGUAGAGAUCGGGAAGAACAUCGGUGGCGAAAGCGCUCUACUGGACGGCAACUGACACUCAGGGACGAAAGCUAGGGGAGCGAAUGGGAUUAGAUACCCC
rnacentral:rRNA from 1 species